UGUCGUGCCCCUACCAUAGCUGCCUGCUGCGAGCUUCAGUUCUUGGCAGGUGCUGGUUUCAGCAGUGUUGUAGCACAGUAUGUGAGCAUCUCUGGGUCACUGCAUUCAGCGCUGGAGAAGAACUGGAAUGAGGGAUUAUGAAGAACUGUUAGUGCUCAUCCAUCCAUUCCCUCCCUCAGGACAUGCACAUUAGAAAGACCUAAGAAAAUCAAACAGCCCCAGGCUCUGGCUCUCAUAAGCCUGAAUCCCAGAG
ensembl:lncRNA